GCCAGUGUUCCCAGUGUUCCCCCACUGCAGUCCUAGACCUGCCAGCGAGAUGUGGGCGAGGGUUCAUCUGGUGGUGGGGAGACACCAGACGGCUCAGUUCCUGCUCACAGGAAGAAGUGCUCUCUAGAGGUGCCUGUCUUUUCUCCUUGGAUGGUGAAAAAAGUCUAAAUGAGUAGACUAGCUGAGCUACAUAACUGUUAAAUGGCCAUGGAAGACUGUGAGAGUGGGUAGUCAGGCUGCCCUGAGGCAACCGAAGAGCUUGGGCAGCUCUUGUGUUACGAAUUCAUCCUCUUGGGUUUUCAGCAGCACACUUUAAUGAUUAAAUUAUAAACUUCUUGAACUUCUGCUUUGGUUUUCUGUUACUAACAAGAGCAUGACUUGUUGAUGAAAGAGAGCAAGCAGCAGAGUGGGCUACUGAAGAGCAGAUGAAGCAUAUCCCAUCACUACAGAGCAUUGCUGCAGCAGAAAAUAAGUGUCCCCUCCUGGACACGGUACAGCUCAAACUAGAGUGGCACAUUUCCAGGUACAAUCUGCAGGGUGAGAAGGACCUUGAGGA